rnacentral:rRNA from 1 species
CCCUUAGAUGUUCUGGGCCGCACGCGUGCUACACUGAGUGGAUCAGCGGGUCAGGUUGCGCGAAAGCGUUUCCUAAUCUUUAAAUCCGCUCGUGAUGGGGAUUGACGGUUGCAAUUUUCUGUCAUGAACGAGGAAUACCUUGUAAGCGCGGGUCAUCAUCCCGCGCUGAAUACGUCCCUGCCCUUUGUACACACCGCCCGUCGCACCUACCGAUUGAAUGGUCCGGUGAAAUCUUGGGAUUUUGUUUUGUUUGCAUUUAUUUGUAUCGAGACGAGAGAACUUGAGUAAACCUUACCAUUUAGAGGAAGGUGAAGUCGUAACA